AUACGGAGGAUCCAAGCGUUAUCCGGAUUUACUGGGUUUAAAGGGUGCGUAGGCGGGCGCUUAAGUCAGCGGUGAAAGGCAGCGGCUCAACCGUUGAAUUGCCGUUGAAACUGGGCGCCUUGGAUUCGGUCGAGGCCGGCGGAAUGCGUGGUGUAGCGGUGAAAUGCUUAGAUAUCACGCGGAACGCCGAUUGCGAAGGCAGCUGGCCAGACCGAGAUCGACGCUGAGGCACGAAAGCGUGGGGAUCAAACAGGAUUAGAUACCCUGGUAGUCCACGCCGUAAACGAUGAUCACUGGAUGCCGGCGAUACACCGUCGGUGUCUGAGCGAAAGCAUUAAGUGAUCCACCUGGGGAGUACGAUCGCAAGGUUGAAACUCAAAGGAAUUGACGGGGGCCCGCACAAGCGGAGGAACAUGUGGUUUAAUUCGAUGAUACGCGAGGAACCUUACCUGGGCUAGAACGCCGAGCGCAUAUGGGGGAAACCCCAUAGCCAGCAAUGGCGGUCGGCGAGGUGCCGCAUGGUUGUCGUCAGCUCGUGCCGUGAGGUGUCGGGUUAAGUCCCAUAACGAGCGCAACCCCUACUGUUAGUUGCCAGCGGAUCAUGCCGGGGACUCUAACGGAACUGCCAGCGUAAGCUGUGAGGAAGGUGGGGAUGACGUCAAAUCAGCACGGCCCUUACGUCCAGGGCUACACACGUGUUACAAUGGCCGGUACAGAGGGCAGCCACCCCGCGAGGGGGCGCGAAUCCUCAAAGCCGGUCCCAGUUCGGAUCGGAGUCUGCAACCCGACUCCGUGAAGCUGGAUUCGCUAGUAAUCGCGCAUCAGCCACGGCGCGGUGAAUACGUUCCCGGGCCUUGCACACACCGCCCGU
rnacentral:rRNA from 1 species